GAGGCAUGUGAGGGCUGUCGCUGACUUUUUAACGCAAAAGGUCGUGCACGCCCGGAGCGUGUCCUCUCGCAUAAAAUCCAUCUCACCCUUUUGUGCACCACCGCGUGGGCACCCUUUGGGAUCAAACCGAUCCAGGAGGGCGCUUGCGUUUUCACACAAACCCCCUUUUAAAAGUGUAGAAUGACCCCAUUUUUGCGAUAACACGCAAUCAAAUACAACUUUCAACAACGGAUCUCUUGGCUCUCGCAUCGAUGAAGAACGCAGCGAAAUGCGAUACGUAAUGUGAAUUGCAGAAUUCAGUGAAUCAUCGAAUCUUUGAACGCACCUUGCGCCCCUUGGUAUUCCGAGGGGCACACCCGUUUGAGUGUCGUGAAAAUCUCAACCUCCUCGGUUUCUUCUGGACGCCGAAGGAGGCUUGGACUUUGGAGGCCUUUGCUGGCGUCUCUCGCCAGCUCCUCUCAAAUGAAUUAGCGGGGUCCUCUUUGCCGAUCCUCGACGUGUGAUAAGAUGUUUCCAUGUCUUGGUUUCUGGCUCUGUCGCCUUUGGGACCCGCUUCUAACCGUCUCAAGUCGAGACAACGUUUGAGCGUGUCUCCCUUCUCGGGAAACACCCUCGAGCCCACGAACCCUUGACCUCAAAUCGGGUGAGACUACCCGCUGACUUAAGCAUAUCAU
rnacentral:rRNA from 1 species